AUUAUCUGAUUACCCGGUUAUGACACGUACGGGUCAGAUACAAGCGUCCAGUAGACUAGGGAUAUCGAGGUCAACACGGUGGCGGUUGGGGAAAGACAUAGGCGAGUGUGCGGUCAGGGUCAAAAUUGCGAGAGGGUGAUUCGAAGUGAAAUACCGCAACAAAAUUUGGACAUCAACGCGUCUAACUAAAUGAGUCACAAUGUUUCUACCACAAGAGUUGUAAAUAUUGAACAGAUAGGGCUUCAUCUUCAAGAUGAAAACUGCAAAAAAUGGCCACCAACAAUAAUGGGCCAGGACUGAGGAGUUCCAAGAAAUGA